GAUGAACGCUAGCUACAGGCUUAACACAUGCAAGUCGAGGGGAAACGAUAUUGGAAGCUUGCUUCUGAUAGGCGUCGACCGGCGCACGGGUGAGUAACGCGUAUCCAACCUGCCCAUCACUUGGGGAUAACCUUGCGAAAGUAAGACUAAUACCCAAUGACGUCUCUAGAAGACAUCUGAAAGAGAUUAAAGAUUUAUCGGUGAUGGAUGGGGAUGCGUCUGAUUAGCUUGUUGGCGGGGUAACGGCCCACCAAGGCGACGAUCAGUAGGGGUUCUGAGAGGAAGGUCCCCCACAUUGGAACUGAGACACGGUCCAAACUCCUACGGGAGGCAGCAGUGAGGAAUAUUGGUCAAUGGACGAGAGUCUGAACCAGCCAAGUAGCGUGCAGGAUGACGGCCCUAUGGGUUGUAAACUGCUCUUAUAAGGGAAUAAAGUGGGAGUCGUGACUCUUUUUGCAUGUACCUUAUGAAUAAGGACCGGCUAAAUUCCGUGCCAG
rnacentral:rRNA from 1 species